UUGUUUAUAUAUUUUAUGUAUGUAAAGACCGCGCUCUAGGGAGAGAUCGUCUGAUAGUAUACAAAUGGAAACCAAAUCGAUUACCCAAAAACAAUUGUAAGACAAAGCUCUUCCGUCAGCCCCUGCAAUGCCUCAGGCUUACCGAUAUGGAGGACAAGUUCCAAUGAAGUAAUAAGAAUGAUGGGCCAGGCAUGUACUUCCACACUAGACCCCCAGGCAGCAGAACAGCGGCGGUUGUAAGAGUCUGAGGUAGAUUUCCCAUUUCAGCGAGAGCUCUCCAAUUUGUAUUUUCUAUGAUACGAAGAAGCUAUCGCAAUUACUUCGACUAACACUGUUCUUUCUUGGGUAUCAGAAGCACAUUUUGAUUUCUCGACUCAAAAAAAUUGCAAUAAAAUAAAUCAAUCAACAAAUUUUCAACCUCAGUA